rnacentral:rRNA from 1 species
GCCUUAGAUAAUAUCUACGGUGUAACCUGCCCAGUGGUUUUAAAUUAGAAAUAAUUAAAAAUUAUAUAAUAAAACUAAAAGGAUGCGGUAACCUUGACUGUAAUAAUGUAGCAUAAUCACUCGCCAUUUAAUUGAUGGAUAGUAUGAAUGGUUGAACGAAUAUUCCACUGUCUUAAAGAGAAAUACACAAAAAUUAGAAUAAUAGUUAAGAUACUAUUUUAAAUUGUAAGACGAAAAGACCCUAUAGAGCUUAACUAUAAUCUUUUUCAAAUUAAAAAGCAUUUACUUCUUAACAAAAAGAUUGGUAGUUUAGUUGGGGCGACUAUCUUCUAAAAAUAACGAAGAAAAACAAAGUUAAUAACACAACUUAUUGUAUAAUAAAUUUAUUUAACAAUUAUAAAAAUAGGUAAUAAUGACCCGUUAAAUUCUUAUAAAAGAACUAACGAUCAAUAAAUAAAAGCUACCUUAGGGAUAACAGGAUAAUUUCAUUCCAGAGAUCUAAUCAAAAAUGAAGUUUGUCACCUCUAUGUUGAAUUAAGAUAUCCUGGCAAUGCAGAAGUUGCCAAAGGUGGGUCUGUUCGACCCUUAAAAUCUU